UACGUAGGGAGCAAGCGUUGUUCGGAUUUACUGGGCGUAAAGGGUGCGUAGGCGGGUUAUUAAGUCAGUGGUGAAAGCCUGCAGCUUAACUGCAGAAUUGCCAUUGAUACUGAUGAUCUUGAGUAUGAUUGAGGUGGGCGGAAUGUGUCAUGUAGCGGUGAGAUGCUUAGAUAUGACACAGAACACCGAUUGCGAAGGCAGCUCACUAAGUCAUAACUGACGCUGAUGCACGAAAGCGUGGGGAGCAAACAGG
rnacentral:rRNA from 1 species